GGGGUCGUGGCUCAGAGGUAGAGCAUUUGCCUAGCAUGCAUGAGGCACUGGGUUCAAUCCUCAGCACCACA
rnacentral:tRNA from 1 species